rnacentral:rRNA from 1 species
AUUGAACGCUGGCGGCAGGCCUAACACAUGCAAGUCGAACGAGUGGCGGACGGGUGAGUAAUGUCUGGGAACCUGCCUGAUGGAGGGGUAUCACUACUGGAAACGGUAGCUAAUACCGCAUACCAUCGGAUGUGCCCAGAUGGGAUUAGCUAGUAGGUGGGGUAACGGCUCACCUAGGCGACGAUCCCUAGCUGGUCUGAGAGGAUGACCAGCCACACUGGAACUGAGACACGGUCCAAACUCCUACGGGAGGCAGCAGUGGGGAAUAUUGCACAAUGGGCGAAAGCCUGAUGCAGCAAUGCCGCGUGUAUGAAGAAGGCCUUCGGGUUGUAAAAUACUUUCAGCGGGGAGGCGUUACCCGAAGAAGAAGCACCGGCUAACUCCGUGCCAGCAGCCGCGGUAAUAC